UGGGGAAUAUUGGACAAUGGGGGCAACCCUGAUCCAGCAAUGCCGCGUGUGUGAAGAAGGCCUGCGGGUUGUAAAGCACUUUAGGUAGUGAGGAAGGCCAUUAUGCAAAUAGCAUAGUGGAUUGACGUUAGCUACAGAAUAAGCACCGGCUAACUCUGUGCCAGCAGCCGCGGUAAUACAGAGGGUGCAAGCGUUAAUCGGAAUGACUGGGCGUAAAGGGCGCGUAGGUGGCAGCUUAAGUUAGAUGUGAAAUCCCCGGGCUUAACCUGGGAACUGCAUUUAAUACUGGGCAGCUAGAGUAUGGGAGAGGGCAGUGGAAUUUCCGGUGUAGCGGUGAAAUGCGUAGAUAUCGGAAGGAACACCAGUGGCGAAGGCGACUGCCUGGCCUAAUACUGACACU
rnacentral:rRNA from 1 species